GGAAAUAGUUCCUCUCGGUGUUGGAAUCGCGGUGAAAAGCCUCCCUCACCGACUCCUGCUCGGCUCUGCUGCGUAACGCUGUUUCCGUCUCCGGUUGAUUCAACGUUGGUGGUGUUACGGUGACUCGCCACACGGGGGCGACGCCGAGCCGCGCGCCUUUGUGCAUCUUUACGGGGGCGCGCUUCUAAGCUUCUGACUCCGCGAGGGUUUAAGUUUGGUUCACAUUAAACAUUUUAUUUAUUUUAAAUUACGAGGAAACAGCCUGAGAGACGUUACAACCAGAGAGUGGAAACCCUCGCAGGCUUCUCAAACUCAACCACUUACCAGGUGACGACAGUCAAGUCUCUGAGGGUUCGGGGCUGCGGGCUCCGACUGGAGAUUGGGUUUAGGCCCAACAGGUUUCAGGUGCAGCACUGCCGCCUCACCUGUCCCACCUUUCAGCACUUCUGUGGCCAGUUUCUCUGGAGGAGGCAUCAAAGUUUCCAGUAGAGGAAGAGGCCUUGAGCUGAAGCACAUGCGUCUUGACUGGUCAAGGGCCUGCUCUGCAGUCUUGAGCCUUUGGAUGAGAGAUGGGACGUGUCUCUGUUACUGGGUCAUUUACUGGGCCACCUGAGCUGGAAUGUCAGGCAGUGCAAAGACGGACAAGUGGAGGAACGCGUUGAGCUGCGAGGAGCACAUGCAGCCACUCGGUAGCUGUUACUAUGAACUGCUAAUUGAAAUGUUCAAUUACACAGUAUUUUAUUUAUACCGCGACAAUAGUUGACAAAAGCUGAAAAAAACUUGAGUUACGCUGAGUCUACAUUAAGGUCGUACGAGAAAGAAAUGGAUUCAGUAUGUUCAGCCUCUGGCUCUGCACACCAAAAUAAGAAAAUACUAACAUAUAAACACACGUCUGGACAUAUAUGUACAUGUAGAUAUGCAACCAUUGUGUUCAAUGUGAAGCGGAGUCUAUUGGUUCCGCCUUUUUGUCUUUGGUUACUCAGUAUUUUUAUAGCACACUAUACUACACAUGGAAAACUAAAUAUAGAAAAUGUUUUAUUAUUAUUCUUUUUUUUAUUAUUCUAGGAACAAAAAGGGAAAUUUGUGGCUACAAACCCGUGUGAACUUUGUCUGAACUGGAAUCUGCUUAACAGCAGCGACUAACGAUGGUUCAUUUAAUUAUUAUGAAGCGUACUUCUCAUAGUUCACCUACAGGUGGCGCUCUAAUUCUAAACACUGUACCGUUCACGCUUUCGCCUUUGCUCCCACAUGUGUGGUAUUGAUGUUACAGCUGUACAAACCAGUUCAUGCUGAAGGCCAAAAGCUUGCUUUUUACAUUUUACUUCAACACUACCGAAUAAACACGUUCCUCUGUUUGAAAUGCA
ensembl:lncRNA